GGCCUAUUAGUUCAGUUGGUUAGAGCGUUGUUCUAAUAAUGCGAAGGUUGUAAGUUCGAGACCUACAUGGGCCA